rnacentral:rRNA from 1 species
GACGAACGCUGGCGGCGUGCUUAACACAUGCAAGUCGAACGGAAAGGCCCUGCUUUUGUGGGGUGCUCGAGUGGCGAACGGGUGAGUAACACGUGAGUAACCUGCCCUUGACUUUGGGAUAACUUCAGGAAACUGGGGCUAAUACCGGAUAGGAGCUCCUGCUGCAUGGUGGGGGUUGGAAAGUUUCGGCGGUUGGGGAUGGACUCGCGGCUUAUCAGCUUGUUGGUGGGGUAGUGGCUUACCAAGGCUUUGACGGGUAGCCGGCCUGAGAGGGUGACCGGCAACUUGGGGACGGAGAGAGGGCCAAGACGCUGAGGGGGGGCGGAAGGGGGGAAUAUGGCAAAGGGGGGGAAGGCCGGAGGCAGAAACGCGGGGUGGGGGAGGACGGCUUUGGGGUUGAAAACGGUUUCCGCGUGUGAAGAAGGGGGGGGGACGGUAAGGGAAAAAGAGGCCCGGGCAAAUAAGGUG